GACGAACGCUGGCGGCGUGCUUAACACAUGCAAGUCGAACGGAAAGGCCCUGCUUUUGUGGGGUGCUCGAGUGGCGAACGGGUGAGUAACACGUGAGUAACCUGCCCUUGACUUUGGGAUAACUUCAGGAAACUGGGGCUAAUACCGGAUAGGAGCUCCUGCUGCAUGGUGGGGGUUGGAAAGUUUCGGCGGUUGGGGUUGGACUCGCGGCUUAUCAGCUUGUUGGUGGGGUAGUGGCUUACCAAGGCUUUGACGGGUAGCCGGCCUGAGAGGGUGACCGGCCCCAUUGGGCCUGGGAUACGGCCCAGCCUCCUACGGGAGGCAGCAGUGCGGAAUAUUGCACAAUGGGCGGAACCCUGAUGCAGCACCGCCGCGUGCGGUAUGACGUCCUUCGGGUUGUAAUCCGCUUUCGCCUGUGACGAAGCGUGAGUGACGGUAAUGGGUAAAGAAGCACCGGCUAACUACGUG
rnacentral:rRNA from 1 species